rnacentral:rRNA from 1 species
GAUAAACGCUGACAGAAUGCUUAACACAUGCAAGUCUACUUGAAUUUGGGUUUUUAACUUAGAUUUGGGUGGCGGACGGGUGAGUAACGCGUAAAGAACUUGCCUCACAGCUAGGGACAACAUUUAGAAAUGAAUGCUAAUACCUAAUAUUAUGAUAAUAGGGCAUCCUAUAAUUAUGAAAGCUAUAAGCGCUGUGAGAGAGCUUUGCGUCCCAUUAGCUAGUUGGAGAGGUAACGGCUCACCAAGGCGAUGAUGGGUAGCCGGCCUGAGAGGGUGAUCGGCCACAAGGGGACUGAGACACGGCCCUUACUCCUACGGGAGGCAGCAGUGGGGAAUAUUGGACAAUGGACCGAGAGUCUGAUCCAGCAAUUCUGUGUGCACGAUGAAGUUUUUCGGAAUGUAAAGUGCUUUCAGUUGGGAAGAAAGAAAUGACGGUGCCAACAGAAGAAGUGACGGCUAAAUACGUGCCAGCAGCCGCGGUAAUACGUAUGUCACGAGCGUUAUCCGGAUUUAUUGGGGCGUAAAGCGCGUCUAGGUGGUUAUAAAGUCUGAUGUGAAAAUGCAGGGCUCAACUCUGUAUUGCGUUGGAAACUGUAUAACUAGAGUACUGGAGAGGUAAGCGGAAC